UUUUGUCAUCAAUCAACAACAGAAAAUAUUAAGUUUGUGUAACAUGUAAAAAUGAGUUUCAACAUCCUUCCUGUUUGAAUUGAGACCAUUCAGACAGACAAGGGCAACCCCGUAGCAUAUGUUCGUAUCGUGCGCAACAGUUUCUGGAUUCUUGUGGCUUCGUGGGAGAAGAGGUGUGUUUGCCCUCGACUGUGUUCGGUGAGUUAAGAACCGAAAACACACUCCUCACUCAUUGGAUGACUUCAAGUCUGAGCUGAUACAGCGGUGUGUCAGUCGUUUGAAUGCAGGAGAUGAUCCUCUUGAGGAACAUAAUGAAAAUCCAUUGUGUGAAGAUGUAGCAAAUGAAGAGGAUGAAGAAAUUGGGGAAUUGCCUAAUUUAAUUGAGAAACAUUUAGCCCACCUACUACUAAAACUGGAAAGUAUAUAUAAUGUACCUCGCAGGUGUAUUGAUGAAUUAGUUGUUACAGUUACAGUUAUAGUUCAUGUCAUUCUCUGAUUCAGGUCCUAUUCAUCAAAAGCACAAUUGUGCUGUUGAUGAAAUUUAGGUUACAUUUACUUUUAGUCACUUUAUCCUAUUGCUAGGCCAGUGUGUAACAGUUUAAAUUGAAGUUACAAAGAUUAAAUCUUUAUUUCUUUUAAAAACAUAUUUAAAAUCAAUAUUUGGCACAAUGCAAGUCACAUAAAUGUAAUAGUUUUGACUUUUCACCUAAUAAACUGUAAGUUUAAGUUUUGUUUUGCUUUUUUUAUUCUCCAGAGUUCGGUGGAAAUGAAGAGAGAGGUCGCAAUCCGUUGCCUGAAGGUGUAUCUGAAAGAGAAGGAAGAGGAUCUCUUCAGAGAACAGCUGGAUGGUGAACAACAGUUCCCAGAAGAAGUGGUAAAGAUUGUAGUCACCAGACGUGCAGCAGUGUCUCUCAAAGCUGUCGCUAAAAUUGUGAUUGAAGGAACAGCAGUCCUGGAAGACCUUGAUGUGCCCAGAGUGUGUGCCUUAAUGAUGGGGCUUAUAUACACUCUCAAUCUGAGCUACCCAAAACAAGUAAAGAACACUAGAGGUAUUUCUGGAACUUGAUGGGCUUAAACCAGUCCACGGGUAAUGUCUGUUAAGUGCAAACUUCUGUCAUGAAAAGAAUGUGAAUUGGACUGUAGUAUUCCGAUGUGCCUCUUACGUUUUUGUAUGCAGUCCCAGAUGAGUGUAGUUUUGAGAAAAGUUUGUAAUACAUAUAAUCUUAGCUUUGGAUUGUUCUGUUGUUGAACAUUAAAAUCUUUUGUCAUUUCCUUGAUUCUGCGACAAGUUGAACAAGUUGAUACCAAUUUAUGUUAAUGUUAAUGUACAUGAAGUACUUUUUUUUUUAGUCAUUUAUAAUUAAAGGGCUGCUGUAAUGUUUCAUUUAUGUUGUAUUGACACAGAAGUGUAUUACUUUGAAAAUGUUUUGUAAUAAAAUAAUCAAUUGGAA